GUGCCAGCCGCCGCGGUAAAACGUAGGAGGCGAGCGUUAUCCGGAUUUACUGGGCGUAAAGCGUGCGUAGGCGGUUGGUCAAGUCAGAUGUUAAAGCCCCUGGCUCAACUGGGGGAGGUCAUUUGAUACUGAUCGGCUUGAGGGUGAGAGAGGAGAGUGGAAUUCCCGGUGUAGCGGUGGAAUGCGUAGAGAUCGGGAGGAACACCAGUGGCGAAAGCGGCUCUCUGGCUCACUUCUGACGCUGAGUGCACGAAAGCGUGGGUAGCAAACGGGAUUAGAUACCCCCGUAGUCC
rnacentral:rRNA from 1 species